CCCUCUACAAUUUGAUGGAAUUCUUAUCUGUAGGCUGAUACAGCCACCGGCAGUUUGAAUUUGAUGGCUGGGCCUUCCCUUUUUUUCAUCAUCAUCAUUAUUGGAGGUGGCGUUGAGAUUUCUCCGUCUUAGUUCUCCCUUGAAUGAUUUUGACGCCAAUUGAUGUUAGAAUAAGCAUGAACCAAUCUUCUUCUGGAAGAAGACAAAUGCAGAGAUCAAUCUUCACAGAAAGAAAAGUCAGCUGCGUAAAGUUGCAUUAGCC
rnacentral:lncRNA from 1 species